CAGGCCGGGGCAACCAACGAAAUCCGAGAAGAGCGCUUGGGGGCGUGUCCGCCUGUUUCAGCCUUUGGGACGUUGGUGGGAGCUAAAAUCAGUCAUUUUUCUGUGAAGGCCUGAAGAAGAAAAGAGAGGCAGUAACUGAGCAAUAAUAUGCUGUGUGAGUCUCCUGCUCUGCUGCCCAUUACCUGUGUCACCUCCGCAAGCUACUGCUGAACCUCAAGGAACCCAUCUCCUCAUCAGGGAAAAAAAAAAAAAAAAAGCUUUAUGUAGGUAGGCACCUCAUAAUGUUAAAGGAUCUCCUGUCUCUUUAUCAUUUAAAACUUUGGAGGCUCACUCCUGUAAUCCAGCAUUUUGGGAGGCCAAGGCAGGAGAAUCCCUUGA